GGAGUAAAAGGAUGAGGAGAAGAAGUGUAUGGGAAGAAAGGGGAGGAGAAAAGAGAGGAGGAUAAUGAGUGAAGAAAGUGGAGAAGAAAGGAGAGGAGAAAAAUGGGUGAAGAAAGCGGAGGAGAAAAAAGGAGGGAAAAAAGAAGGAGAAAUGGGUGAGAAAGAAGAGGACGAGAAAGAAAAGGAGGAAAAAAAGGGAGAAAGAGGGAUGCCGGUCAUAGAGAAGAAGAUCAAUCGAAGAGGAGGG
rnacentral:lncRNA from 1 species